UACGUAGGAUGCGAGCGUUAUCCGGAUUUAUUGGGUUUAAAGGGUGCGUAGGCGGAGUGCCAAGUCAGCGGUAAAAAUUCGGGGCUCAACCCCGUCGUGCCGUUGAAACUGGCGCCCUUGAGUGGGCGAGAAGUAUGCGGAAUGCGUGGUGUAGCGGUGAAAUGCAUAGAUAUCACGCAGAACCCCGAUUGCGAAGGCAGCAUGCCGGCUUCCUACUGACGCUGAAGCACGAAAGCGUGGGGAUCGAACAGG
rnacentral:rRNA from 1 species